GAGUUUGAUCAUGGCUCAGGACGAACGCUGGCGGCGUGCUUAACACAUGCAAGUCGAACGGAAAGGCCUCAAGCUUGCUUGGGGUACUCGAGUGGCGAACGGGUGAGUAACACGUGGGUGAUCUGCCCUGCACUUCGGGAUAAGCCUGGGAAACUGGGUCUAAUACCGGAUAGGACCCCUCUUUAGUGUGGGGGGUGGAAAGUUUUUUCGGUGUGGGAUGAGCCCGCGGCCUAUCAGCUUGUUGGUGGGGUAAUGGCCUACCAAGGCGUCGACGGGUAGCCGGCCUGAGAGGGUGGACGGCCACAUUGGGACUGAGAUACGGCCCAGACUCCUACGGGAGGCAGCAGUGGGGAAUAUUGCACAAUGGGCGGAAGCCUGAUGCAGCGACGCCGCGUGGGGGAUGACGGCCUUCGGGUUGUAAACCUCUUUCGACAGGGACGAAGCUUUUGUGACGGUACCUGUAUAAGAAGCACCGGCUAACUACGUGCCAGCAGCCGCGGUAAUACGUAGGGUGCGAGCGUUGUCCGGAAUUACUGGGCGUAAAGAGCUCGUAGGUGGUUUGUCGCGUCGUCUGUGAAAUUCCGGGGCUUAACUUCGGGCGUGCAGGCGAUACGGGCAAUACUUGAGUGCUGUAGGGGAGACUGGAAUUCCUGGUGUAGCGGUGAAAUGCGCAGAUAUCAGGAGGAACACCGAUGGCGAAGGCAGGUCUCUGGGCAGUAACUGACGCUGAGGAGCGAAAGCAUGGGUAGCGAACAGGAUUAGAUACCCUGGUAGUCCAUGCCGUAAACGGUGGGCGCUAGGUGUAGGGGUCUUCCACGACUUCUGUGCCGUAGCUAACGCAUUAAGCGCCCCGCCUGGGGAGUACGGGCCGCAAGGCUAAACUCAAGGAAUUGACGGGGGC
rnacentral:rRNA from 1 species